rnacentral:rRNA from 1 species
UACGUAGGGAGCAAGCGUUGUUCGGAUUUACUGGGCGUAAAGGGCGCGUAGGCGGCGCGGUAAGUCACUUGUGAAAUCUCUGAGCUUAACUCAGAACGGCCAAGUGAUACUGCAGUGCUAGAGUGCAGAAGGGGCAAUCGGAAUUCUUGGUGUAGCGGUGAAAUGCGUAGAUAUGCGGAGGAACACCGAUGGCGAAGGCAAUCCCCUGGGCCUGGCACUGACGCUCAUGCACGAAAGCGUGGGGAGCAAACAGG